rnacentral:rRNA from 1 species
CCCCCAGACCGACUGCUACUGAAUCACUAAUUGAUCUUAUCAAUGUGAUAUAGUAAGGGAAAACAAAUGAUAUUACUUUACUUAUAGUGUUGUCUAAUUCUGGUGCCAGAAGACUCGGUAAUACCAGUAACGCGAACGUUAGUCAUCUUUAUCAGGCGUAAAGGGUUUGUAGGCAGCUUUUAAAAAAAAUUCUUAACUAUAUUGUCCUUUUUUAUUUUUUUUUUAUUAAAAAAAAAGACAAAAAAGGAAUAAAUAGUUAAGUCUCUAAUUUGAGAGCUAGAAUCAAAUAGAAGUUAAAAAGUAUAAUACUUAGAGAAGGGUUGAUAUUCUUAGAACCUAAGGGGAAUACUAAAGGUGUAAACAACUAACUAUAAAUGAUUGACGCUGAGACACGAAGGUGAGGAUAGGAAAUAGGAUUAGAUACCCCGGUACCCCUCUCUGUAAACGAUGAAUGGUAGUUAUUAGUGUAUUACUGGUAACGAAGCUAACGCGUUAACCAUUCCGCCUUGGGAGUACGAUUGCAAAGUUGAAAACAAAAAAAUUAGUCGGUCUCGGAGCAAACGGAGUGAAGCAUGUUAUUUAAUUCAAAAAUCCCGCAAACCCC